GUCUAUGGCAACACUACCCUGAAUGCACUCAAUCUUUUCUAAUCUCAGAAGCUAGGCAGAGUCUGGCCUUGUUGUUACUUAGGUGAGAGAUCACCUUGGGUACCGAGGGCUGUAGGCU
ensembl:rRNA 5S_rRNA 5S ribosomal RNA